rnacentral:lncRNA from 1 species
GAAUGUCUUUCCUUCUGCCUCCCCAGUUCAACAAUAGGAUUCUAUCUUCUGGUUAAGCAAGAUCUUAGUCAUUUCGCCUUUGUGUGAUAACUCUAUCUUUCUGGAAGCUACCUCCCCUCUCUCUUUAUGCACUUGCCUAGAAGGCUUAGGUGUCCGUGGGUAAGCAACCGCUGCUUAUCGAUUAAUAGAGCCAGCUCCACGUCCGAGCCUUAGAAUAGAACAAGACAUUUGAAUUCUAGCGCACUAGCCUUAGCUAGACUCCUGCUUCAAGUGCUGAUUUGAAUUUCUUAGUUGAAGGAGUUGUGAUAACUAUAUAUUUUUGGAAGCUACCUCCCCUCUCUCUUUAUGCACUUGCCAAGAAGGCUUAGGUGUCCGUGGGCAUGAAACCGCUGCUUAUCGAUUAAUAGAGCCAGCUCCACGUCCGAGCCUUAGAAUAGAACAAGACAUUUAAAUUCUAAGCGCACUAGCCUUAGCUAGACUCCUGCUUCAAGUGCUGAUUUGAAUUUCUUAGUUGAAGGAGUGACAAUAGGCCUAAGGGAAUAAUCAAUCCUGGGGUUCCUUUUGUCUCACCAUGGCUUCAUUGGGAUCAAUUUCUAAGUAUAGGAAGUAGAGAGGUUGCUAGUAGGUUUUUCUAAGUCCCUCCGUAGUCCAGUCCUUGAGUUGUUUCUUUGGAAGUAGUGAAUGUGGUAAUAGGUGUAUAACCAUUACCCGUUCCUAAUCAUUGAAUGGAUAGCGGAGCGUAGGUGGAAAGCAGUUAUAUGGAUACGGUGCUUUACCCGUAGACGCUUCUCCAGCUCUCGCAAGAAUUAUAUGGGAGUCGCCCUCGGAGAGACUUCCCGAGUGACCGUACCAAGGAAAUCUACCGUAAUCUGUGCACCUAUGGCUGUUGAUCCUGCAGAGUUUACCCAGAGGUUCAAGCCAGAUUCGUAGCACUAGCCUUAGCUAGACUCCUGCUUAAAGUGCUGAUUUGAAUUUCUUAGUUGAAGGAGUGACAAUAGGCCUAAAGGAAUAAUCAAUCCUGGGGGUUCCUUUUGUCUCACCAUGGCUUCAUUGGGAUCAAUUUCUAAGUAUAGAAGUAGAGAGGUUGCUAGUAGGUUUUUCUAAGUCAC